GACGAACGCUGGCGGCGUGCCUAAUACAUGCAAGUCGAACGCUUCUUUCCUCCCGAGUGCUUGCACUCAAUUGGAAAGAGGAGUGGCGGACGGGUGAGUAACACGUGGGUAACCUACCCAUCAGAGGGGGAUAACACUUGGAAACAGGUGCUAAUACCGCAUAACAGUUUAUGCCGCAUGGCAUAAGAGUGAAGGGCGCUUUCGGGUGUCGCUGAUGGAUGGACCCGCGGUGCAUUAGCUAGUUGGUGAGGUAACGGCUCACCAAGGCCACGAUGCAUAGCCGACCUGAGAGGGUGAUCGGCCACACUGGGACUGAGACACGGCCCAGACUCCUACGGGAGGCAGCAGUAGGGAAUCUUCGGCAAAGGACGAAAGUCUGACCGAGCAACGCCGCGUGAGUGAAGAAGGUUUUCGGAUCGUAAAACUCUGUUGUUAGAGAAGAACAAGGACGUUAGUAACUGAACGUCCCCUGACGGUAUCUAACCAGAAAGCCACGGCUAACUACGUG
rnacentral:rRNA from 1 species